rnacentral:tRNA from 13 species
GUCUCCAUAGUUCAAUGGAUAGAACAGUCCCCUCCUAAGGGACAGAUACAGGUUCGAUCCCUGUUGGGGAUACCA